rnacentral:lncRNA from 1 species
UUUGCUUUUCCAUUGAUCGUUUAAAACAUGGAGCAAAAUUUGAAGAUGAUGUGCUUGGUCAUGUUAUUGCUUUCCAUGUCAGGUACAUAGUCGUUUGUUUGUCUCAAUAGCAAACUAACUCCAUUAAACAUCAUGUCCUCUGUUUAUCUCUAAUGGAAUAAAUACGCUUUGCAGGUUUGUUUGUCUCAUCUAUUUUGGCUGACAAAGGAUCUAACAUAGAAGGGUGUGGUCGCUUUGGAUUCUGUGAACCAAUCUGUCGAACUCACUUGCCUUAUUGUUGUAAUAGUGUUUGCCAGUGCUCACCAUGCACUAAAUUUUAAUAUUGUGUUUAAUAUCAUAAAUAUAAAAGGAUGGUGCCCUAAUGUGUUUGUUCCCCGAGAAAUCUGUGAAAUAAAAUUCAUCC